UUGCAAUCUUCCUUUCUGGAGAAUAAUAUCAUAGCCUCAUUCACAAAGUUUAGGGUUUAGGAUUCGGGUUUACCCAUACAAUUUUUUGUGUGUGUGUGUGAGAGAGAUACAGACAAUAUACAUGUGCAUCACGUACAUAACGAGGCUCAGAUGUCAAUUUAAUAAUCACCAUUGAGUCCACCAGAAACUGACAUGGCUGCUACCUCUCCUGGUAACCCCGCCAAGAUACCGG
rnacentral:misc_RNA from 1 species